GGUUAAGCGACUAAGCGUACACGGUGGAUGCCCUGGCAGUCAGAGGCGAUGAAGGGCGUGCUAAUCUGCGAUAAGCGCCGGUAAGGUGAUAUGAACCGUUAUAACCGGCGAUACCCGAAUGGGGAAACCCAGUGUGACUCGUCACACUAUCAUUAACUGAAUCCAUAGGUUAAUGAGGCGAACCGGGGGAACUGAAACAUCUAAGUACCCCGAGGAAAAGAAAUCAACCGAGAUUCCCCCAGUAGCGGCGAGCGAACGGGGAGGAGCCCAGAGCCUGAAUCAGCAUGUGUGUUAGUGGAAGCGUCUGGAAAGGCGCGCGAUACAGGGUGACAGCCCCGUACACAAAAGCGCAUGUGCUGUGAGCUCGAUGAGUAGGGCGGGACACGUGGUAUCCUGUCUGAAUAUGGGGGGACCAUCCUCCAAGGCUAAAUACUCCUGACUGACCGAUAGUGAACCAGUACCGUGAGGGAAAGGCGAAAAGAACCCCGGCGAGGGGAGUGAAAAAGAACCUGAAACCGUGUACGUACAAGCAGUGGGAGCACAGGUUUACCUGUGUGACUGCGUACCUUUUGUAUAAUGGGUCAGCGACUUAUAUUCUGUAGCAAGGUUAACCGAAUAGGGGAGCCGGAGGGAAACCGAGUCUUAACCGGGCGUUAAGUUGCAGGGUAUAGACCCGAAACCCGGUGAUCUAGCCAUGGGCAGGUUGAAGGUUGGGUAACACUAACUGGAGGACCGAACCGACUAAUGUUGAAAAAUUAGCGGAUGACCUGUGGCUGGGGGUGAAAGGCCAAUCAAACCGGGAGAUAGCUGGUUCUCCCCGAAAGCUAUUUAGGUAGCGCCUCGUGAAUUCAUCUCCGGGGGUAGAGCACUGUUUCGGCUAGGGGGCCAUCCCGGCUUACCAACCCGAUGCAAACUGCGAAUACCGGAGAAUGUUAUCACGGGAGACACACGGCGGGUGCUAACGUCCGUCGUGAAGAGGGAAACAACCCAGACCGCCAGCUAAGGUCCCAAAGUCAUGGUUAAGUGGGAAACGAUGUGGGAAGGCCCAGACAGCCAGGAUGUUGGCUUAGAAGCAGCCAUCAUUUAAAGAAAGCGUAAUAGCUCACUGGUCGAGUCGGCCUGCGCGGAAGAUGUAACGGGGCUAAACCAUGCACCGAAGCUGCGGCAGCGAACGUAUCACUUAAAGCGAUUCAGCGGGUUACGAUUGACGGAGCGAAGCGACGUCAAAGCGUAUACAAAGUCGAGUCGGUUUAAGGAUACGUUCGUUGGGUAGGGGAGCGUUCUGUAAGCCUGCGAAGGUGGCCUGUGAGGGUUGCUGGAGGUAUCAGAAGUGCGAAUGCUGACAUAAGUAACGAUAAAGCGGGUGAAAAGCCCGCUCGCCGGAAGACCAAGGGUUCCUGUCCAACGUUAAUCGGGGCAGGGUGAGUCGACCCCUAAGGCGAGGCCGAAAGGCGUAGUCGAUGGGAAACGGGUUAAUAUUCCCGUACUUGGUGUUACUGCGAAGGGGGGACGGAGAAGGCUAUGUUGGCCGGGCGACGGUUGUCCCGGUUUAAGCGUGUAGGUGUGUGUUCCAGGUAAAUCCGGUUCACUUUAACACUGAGGCGUGACGACGAGGCACUACGGUGCUGAAGCAACAAAUGCCCUGCUUCCAGGAAAAGCCUCUAAGCAUCAGGUAACAUCAAAUCGUACCCCAAACCGACACAGGUGGUCAGGUAGAGAAUACCAAGGCGCUUGAGAGAACUCGGGUGAAGGAACUAGGCAAAAUGGUGCCGUAACU
rnacentral:rRNA from 1 species